rnacentral:rRNA from 1 species
CGGGGAGUACGACGCAAGGUUGAAACUCAAAGGAAUUGACGGGGCCGCGACAAGCGGUGGAGCGAUGUGGUUUAAUUCGUAAGCAACGCGAAGAACCGUUACCAGGUCUUGACAUCCCGAUGCUAUUUCUAGAGAUAGAAAGUUACUUCGGUACAUCGGUGACAGGUGGUGCAUGGUUGUCGUCAGCUCGUGUCGUGAGAUGUUGGGUUAAGUCCCGCAACGAGCGCAACCCUCGUGUUUAGUUGCCAUCAUUAAGUUGGGCACUCUAAACAGACUGCCGGUGACAAACCGGAGGAAGGUGGGGAUGACGUCAAGUCAGCAUGCCCCAUGUCCUGGGCUACACACGUACUACAAUGGUAGGGACAGAGGGCAGCCAACCCGCGAGGGCGAGCUAAUCCCGUAAACCCUGCCUCAGUUCAGAUUGCAGGCUGCAACUCGCCUGCAUGAAGGCGGAAUCGCUAGUAAUCGCAGGUCAGCAUACUGCGGUGAAUCCGUUCCCGGGCCUUGUACACACC